GAUGAACGCUGGCGGCGUGCCUAAUACAUGCAAGUCGAGCGAACAGACGAUGAGCUUGCUCCUCUGACGUUAGCGGCGGACGGGUGAGUAACACGUGGAUAACCUACCUAUAAGACUGGGAUAACAUCGGGAAACCGGAGCUAAUACCGGAUAAUAUAUUGAACCGCAUGGUUCAAUAGUGAAUGACGGUUUUGCUGUCACUUAUAGAUGAAUCCGCGCCGCAUUAGCUAGUUGGUAAGGUAACGGCUUACCAAGGCGACGAUGCGUAGCCGACCUGAGAGGAUGAUCGGCCACACUGGAACUGAGACACGGUCCAGACUCCUACGGGAGGCAGCAGUAGGGAAUCUUCCACAAUGGGCGCAAGCCUGACCCAGCAACACCGCGUGAGUGAAGAAGGUCUUCGGAUCGUAAAACUCUGUUAUUAGGGAAGAAAAAAUGUGUAAGUAACUAUGCACGUCUUGACGGUACCUAAACAGUAAGCCACGGCUAACUACGUG
rnacentral:rRNA from 1 species